AACGAACGCUGGCGGCGUGCUUAACACAUGCAAGUUGAACGGAAAGGCCCUGCUUUUGUGGGGUGCUCGAGUGGCGAACGGGUGAGUAACACGUGAGUAACCUGUCAUUGACUUUGGGAUAACUUCAGGCAACUGGGUCUAAUACCGGAUAGGAGCUCCUGCUGUAUGGUGGGGGCUGGAUAGUUUCGGCGGUUGGGAUUGGACUAGCGGCUUAUCAGCUUGUUGGUUGGGUAGUGGCUUACCAAGGCUUUGACCGGUAGCCGGGCUGGGAGGGUAACCGGCCACAUUGGGCCGGGGAUAAGGCACAGACUCCUACGGUAGGCAGCAGAGCAGAAGAUUGUACAAUGGGCGGAAGCAUGAUGUAGCAACGCAGCGCGCGGUAAGACGGCAAUCGGGUAGGAAACCGCUGUCCCCUUUGCCGAGGCGAUAGUGACAGUAAUGGGUAAAUAAGCACCGGCUAACUACGUG
rnacentral:rRNA from 1 species